rnacentral:rRNA from 1 species
CCUACGGGUGGCAGCAGCAGGGAAUCUUCCGCAAUGGACGCAAGUCUGACGGAGCAACGCCGCGUGUGUGAAGAAGGUUUUCGGAUCGUAAAGCACUGUUAUUGGCCAAGAACACCCCAAGUAGUAACUGGCUUGGGAUUGACGGUAACCAAUCAGAAAGCCACGGCUAACUACGUGCCAGCAGCCGCGGUAAUACGUAGGUGGCAAGCGUUGUCCGGAUUUAUUGGGCGUAAAGGGAGCGCAGGCGGUGACUUAAGUCUGAUGUGAAAGCCCACGGCUUAACCGUGGAGGGUCAUUGGAAACUGGGUCACUUGAGUGCAGAAGAGGAAAGCGGAAUUCCAUGUGUAGCGGUGAAAUGCGUAGAUAUAUGGAGGAACACCAGUGGCGAAGGCGGCUUUCUGGUCUGUAACUGACGCUGAGGCUCGAAAGCGUGGGGAGCAAACAGGAUUAGAUACCCUUGUAGUC